UCAGUUAAUAUAGAUCAUAAGAUGUACUUAGUUAAUUUUAAGGUUCGUUUAACAACACUCUUUAAAUUACAUAUUUUACACAUCAAGUUAUGAUUGUUAUAUAUAUAUAUAUAUUUGAAAUCCUUGUAUCCUCUUUCAAUAUUCAAUUCAAUUCAUACACACGACAUUAAAUUAUUUACAGAGAGAGAGAAAGAAAAGGAGAGUGAAACUGGGAAGAAGAAAAAAAAAAGGAAAAAGAGAAAAUGAAGAGAAUAAAGAGUUGAGAAGGGGCUUGGGACCCCUCUCGUCCCUACGUGGCUCCAUCACUGCAUGCAUGUUCUCUAUAUUAAGGAUUUGUCGAGUCUUCACAUCAAACCUAAAUUUGUC
rnacentral:lncRNA from 1 species